GACGAACGCUGGCGGCGUGCUUAACACAUGCAAGUCGAACGGUAAGGCCCUUUCGGGGGUACACGAGUGGCGAACGGGUGAGUAACACGUGGGUGAUCUGCCUUGCACUUUGGGAUAAGCCUUGGAAACUGGGUCUAAUACCGGAUAGGAUUUUGCGAUGCAUGUCGUGUGGUGGAAAGCUUUGGCGGUGUGAGAUGGGCCCGCGGCCUAUCAGCUUGUUGGUGGGGUGAUGGCCUACCAAGGCGACGACGGGUAGCCGGCCUGAGAGGGUGUCCGGCCACACUGGGAGUGAGAUACGGCCCAGACUCCUACGGGAGGCAGCAGUGGGGAAUAUUGCACAAUGGGCGCAAGCCUGAUGCAGCGACGCCGCGUGGGGGAUGACGGCCUUCGGGUUGUAAACCCCUUUCAGCACAGACGAAGCGUAAGUGACGGUAUGUGCAGAAGAAGCACCGGCCAACUACGUG
rnacentral:rRNA from 1 species